GACAGAGGCCUCAAGCGUUAGGCGGAAUCACUGGGCUUAAAGCGUGUGUAGGCGGAUCGUUAAGUGUCUUGUGAAAUCCCACGGCUCACCCGUGGAACUGCUGGGCAUACUGGCGAUCUUGGGCCAACUAGGGGCAACUGGAACAAGCGGUGGGAGCGGUGAAAUGCGUAGAUAUCGCUUGGAACGCCAAUGGUGAAGACAGGUGACUGGGCUAGAUCUGACACUGAGGCACGAAAAGCGUGGGGGAUCAAACGGGG
rnacentral:rRNA from 1 species